GUAGUUACUAUAGUAACACUUUCAGUUGCCUAAGUGACAAUAUUCUUAUGAUGUCAUCAGCAAACAAUCAGUUCCAGUAAACAUCUUGAACUCCGUGUAUGAAAGUGCUGCGUCCUGUGCUUGGGAUGCCAUAUCAAUCUGUCUUGUGCCUCUGAUAAAUAUGGGGAGAAGCAACAAUGGAGAUUGUGAGCCCUUUCUUUGGGCCAAGCUCAGCGCUGGAGAAAGUGGUGCUUAAUGGAAUUUCACUUCUUAUCAGACCAAGUUCAGAGCAGAGCUGUAUCAACUAUGAGCUGGAGGGAGGGAGUCAUGGGAGGAGUCCAGUGACAGCAGUGUUCUCUGGCCAUGAGAUCUCUUGCAGCAGGGAGAGCUGAAGAACAGUGCAACAAUUGUGUUACUGAAGAGCUCUAUAACCACAGAAUGGGAAAUGCAUCAUCGGAUGUGAUUUUUAGAACAGAUGCCCAAGCAGCAUUGGCAGUUAAUUAAAAGCACCAUGUACUUAAUGAUUAACUAAUCACAGCAUGAUGGCAUUCAACAGAGAUGCAAGAAACUUCUCUGCUGGAUUCAACAGAGAAACUCCUAAUGUGUGCCUUCAGGGUACCGUACUUACAGCAGUUUGCUUUUGCAUUACCAGCAGAGACAACACAAGCAGUUAGUCUAGCAAUUUUCAUUAACCAUUGCUUAGUUAAAACUUUAAAAAUGGGAAGGAUGAGUCAACUAUGAGCCAUAAAUACCAGAAUGUUUGUCCUUUAGAAUGACAAUCCAUAGCUCUUCAGUAAAAUCUUCCUUACAAGGAUUUCAAAGCACUUUACAGACAUUUAAUUAAGCUAUACAGAUGAGUUAUGUGAAAGUUUUCAUUGUGCCAGUGAGUAAAUUAAGACAGACAGGCUAAAUUGCUUGCUUAAAUUCAUAUUCAUAUGCAUCUAUGGCAUAGCAGAGUCUUCUGAUU